rnacentral:pre_miRNA from 1 species
GUUGUACUUCCUCCGUUUUGAAUUACUUGUCGCAGGUAUGGAUGUAUCUAGAUGUAUUUUAGUUCUAGAUACAUUCAUUACUGCGAUGAAUAAUUUGGAACGAAGGGAGUACAAA